GAGCAUGGUCUUUCAUCUAAUAUGCAAUAAGGGGCUGGAUUUCUGGUGGUUUCUCUUCAGGGAGAGAGGGGAAAAACAGGAAGAGAAACUCGGAGAUUCUCUUCUGGGAUUGAUGACUAAAGGCAAAGAGUGAGAACUGGGUAGAAGAGGCAAAGAGAACGUGGGAAGAGAAAUAAAAUUUGUCAUUCCCCCGAACCCUCACUGAAACACGAAAUUUUAACAGCUAUCUGCCCACAGAAAAGCACAAGAAGCAAACAUCAGAUUGAAGGAGACUAGAAAGACAUUACAACUGAAUUCAAGAAAAGUUCACAACUUCCAAGAGGAGAGCUGCGAACUAAAUGCCACACCUGAGCGCUGACAGACACCACAACCUAACGGGAGUCAGUCUUUCAAAGAAGUUCACACCAAGAACAGAAACUAAAAUAAAAGGUUUGUUUGACCCAGAAUGAGUCUUUCAAACACAGUUCUCUUAUUCUGAUUCUAGAAAAAAGGCAAUGUAAUUUUUUAAGAAAGUAAAACUUAAAUAAAUAAAGGUAACAUAAGCAAACACAAUUAUCUUAGGAGACAUUACUGGAAUUUUAAAAUGAACUGGAUUUUUUUUUUUUACUCACUGAGUCUAAGAUAAACCCAGCUAAACUGAUUCAUUUCCUUUUAAGGAAAGACUUUACAAGAAUCUCUCAUGUCAGGUCUUUACAAUCCCCUUUCUUAUUAUGAGUACU